rnacentral:rRNA from 1 species
UAGGGAAUCUUCGGCAAUGGACGAAAGUCUGACCGAGCAACGCCGCGUGAGUGAAGAAGGUUUUCGGAUCGUAAAACUCUGUUGUUAGAGAAGAACAAGGACGUUAGUAACUGAACGUCCCCUGACGGUAUCUAACCAGAAAGCCACGGCUAACUACGUGCCAGCAGCCGCGGUAAUACGUAGGUGGCAAGCGUUGUCCGGAUUUAUUGGGCGUAAAGCGAGCGCAGGCGGUUUCUUAAGUCUGAUGUGAAAGCCCCCGGCUCAACCGGGGAGGGUCAUUGGAAACUGGGAGACUUGAGUGCAGAAGAGGAGGGUGGAAUUCCAUGUGUAGCGGUGAAAUGCGUAGAUAUAUGGAGGAACACCAGUGGCGAAGGCGGCUCUCUGGUCUGUAACUGACGCUGAGGCUCGAAAGCGUGGGGAGAAAACAGG